rnacentral:lncRNA from 1 species
GCUACAGGGAUGAAGAAGAAGCUAUAGCUGUUUUUACAGAGGCUGAGGCAAGUGGUCAACAGCAGGUGGCUGUCGAGACGUCUAAUGACCAUUCUCCAUAUACCUUUCAACCUAAUAAGUAACUGUGAGAUGUACAGAAAGGUGUUCUUACAUGAAGAAGGGUGUGAAGGCUGAACAAUCAUGGAUUUUUCUGAUCAAUUGUGCUUUAGGAAAUUAUUGACAGUUUUGCACAGGUUCUUGAAAACGUUAUUUAUAAUGAAAUCAACUAAAACUAUUUUUGCUAUAAGUUCUAUAAGGUGCAUAAAACCCUUAAAUUCAUCUAGUAGCUGUUCCCCCGAACAGGUUUAUUUUAGUAAAAAAAAAAAAACAAAAAACAAAAACAAAAGAUUUUUAUCAAAUGUUAUGAUGCAAAAA